AGAGUGGGAUGACAAAGUCUGAGUCUUGCAUGUAGGGGUGGAAACAGGUAGAACAGAAACAAACGUAGGUCAGAAUAGCCUCCCUUUACAUCAUCCUCGACAGGCACUGCAAGAGUGGGAAGAGGCCAGGGCGCAUGCCCAUGCAAAGGUGGAGCAUGUCUGGGGGCUUAAUUGGGGAAUGAGAGUAGGUGGGACCUAAAAUCGACUUCUCUGGUAAUCAGGCUCUGACCCAAGAGGCAAGGGACAGAACCCUCUGCUGAGACACAAAAACACACGUUCAAGGCCUCAGAGUCUCUGCAGCAAGAGAGGAUGGACGUUAAAAUCCCAGCAACCUGGGUCCGAAUCCCAGCUCUGCCAACUAACACAACCUUGGGUAGAUGACUGAACUUCUCUAGGCCUCAGUUUCCUCAUCUGUACUUUGGGAUUGCUGUGAGAAAUGGAGAAUAUGGAUCUAAAGCACCUGCCAAAUAGUGGCUGUCAUUGGUAUCAUUGCAUUACAGGUUUAUUGUGCAAUGGGAGGCCUCUUGAGUUAAGGAUGGUAGGGGGUUCUGUCCCUGGAUAGCAAACAAUCAUUUUUUGUUUUUGUUUUCUUAUUAGGGCCACACUUAGGGCAUAUGGAAGUUCCCAGGCUAGGGGUGGAACUGGAGUUGUAGCUGAGGCCUACACCGAAGCCACAGCAACACCAGAUCCAAGCCACAUCUGCGACCUAUACCACAACUUGCAGCAGCACCAGAUCCUUAAGGCACUGAGUAAGGCCAGGAUCGAACCCGCAUCCUUAUGGACAUGAGUCAGGUUCUUAACCCACUGAGCCACAAUGGAAACUCCCAACAAGCAAUUAUUAAUCCUGCCAUGCUUUACAAGCUGGUUUUUGCAACCUCACACGGAGAUGGGAGUUUGGGAUGCUCUUAGCAAAGGCUAACUAAACCUUACCUCGCCCUCCAGUACAAAUUCCUGACUUUCAUUUAGAUUUAAUAGACUUGAGUUUAACAAGAUAGCUAUUAUAUUUUAAAUAAAUACUGACUGGCCACAAAUGCAACAUUCACUGCGAAUUAGCAAGGAGAGAGGCCGCCUCGUUUUCAUCUCUGGUCUAUCUCAAGUACGGCUUUGAAUAAUUAAUUUGCCAUUUUGAUAAUACACAAUGACCAGCCUAUUCAGCCAAGAAUCCUGCCUUUAUUAAAUGAGAACUCAGUGGCAAACAAACAAAACCUGAGUCAAUAGUUGCCUCGCCAGUUAUUAAAAGCUCCUUUCCCUGAGGGUUGCUGUGGGAGGCCGGGCAGAGGAACGGAGGAGGAACAAGCAGUGGGGAAGAUGAAGGAACAGACAGAAGGCUAUUGAAAGCCAGACCCCGCUCAGGUGGGAGGUGUCACUCAGACAGUCUGAGGUCAGCGCCAAAGAAACCACUUGGGUUCCCCACCAAUGCCGUACCACCCCUGAAGCAGCUAGCCGGAACAUUUGUGUUUUGUUUGGGGUUUCUGGAAGUUAUUUAUUGCCCAAAGAUGGGACUUGGAGGCAGGAAAGAUAUGCAGAAAGUGGUGAGUAUCCUAACGUUACAAGCUCUCACCGCAAGAAUAAUGGGGAAUUAAAGAAUACAGCCCUCUGUUACAGGGGACUCUGCAGGAGAGAUGUUAACAGUAUGGAUUUUGAAAAAGACACAAUUAGGAUGCUACUGAUUGCGUACAAAAGACCUCCAAAUCCAAAGAUUUAGACAAUAAGGAAAUGAAUUCUCACCCAGCAGGAAAUUCAGAAAUACACAAGGUUUGGAGUUCCCAUCGUGGCGCAGUGGUUCACGAAUCCGACUGGGAACCAUGAGGUUGCGGGUUCGGUCCCUGCCCUUGCUCAGUGGGUUAAGGAGCCGGCAUUGCUGUGAGCUGUGGUGUAGGGUCGCAGACGCGGCCCGGGUCCCGCGUUGCUGUGGCUCUAGCAUAGGCCGGUGGCUACAGCUCUGAUUAGCCCCCUAGCCUGGGAACCUCCAUAUGCCGCGGGAGUGGCCCAAGAAAUAGCAAAAAGACAAAAAAAAAAAAUAAAAAUAAAAAUAAAAUAGAGGUUUAUGUGCCCACAUAAAAGAAGCCCAGAGAUAAACAGUCAAAAGCCAGUAUGGCAGCUCCACAGUCAGCAUGGACCCCCACUUUCUGCAAUGCCAUCUUUAGCACAUGGCUUCCAUCCUCAAGUUUGCUUCAGGAUCACAUAAUGGCUACCCUAUUCUAGCCAUCAAGUCCACAUCCCAGGACCUAAGUAGGCUUUUAAAGUUCAGCCUAAACCUGAAAGCUUCUCUGAGGGAACUCAUUCAUUUGUCCAACCAUCUACCCAUCUACUGGAGCACUGACAGUUAGAUACCAAUAUCUAGGCCCCAUCCUCAGCCAAACAGUACUACUUUGCAGCUUUUAGCCAAGUCAGGUAACACCUCUGCGUAUUGGUCAGGAUUCUCCAGAGAAAAAGAACCACACACACACAUAUAAAUACAAUUAUUAUAGGAGUUGACUCACACAGUUAUGCAGGCUAAGAAAUCCCAUGAUCUGCCAUCAGCAAACUGGAGAACCAGGAAAGCCACUAGUGUAAUUCAGUCUGAGUCCAAAGACCUGUGAAUUAAGGAGGGCAAUAGUAUAAGUCAAUCUGAGUCCAGUGGUCCAAGAACUGGGAGCACCAAUGUCCAAGGGUAGACGAAGAAGGAUGCUCGAGCUCAAGCAAGCAAGCUGGCCCACCUACAUUGGCUGAGUGUGUUCUUUAUUCAGUCAACAGAUUCAAAUGCUAAUCUUCCAGAAGCAGCCUCACAGACACACCCAGAAAGAAUGUUUCACCAGCUAUGUGGGGCAUGCCUUAGCCCAGGGAGGGCAGCACAUAAAAUUAAGCAUCCAUCGUACUCCAGCUCAAGUCCCUCUCUCUUCCUGUCCAUCUCCACAGCUACCACCCAAGUUCAGACGGUUCCCAUCUUAACUCCUGGACCACUGGGAUAGCUUCUUUAUUUUUCCUUUAAUUUUAUGCAGCUUUAUUGAUGCACAAUUGGCAUAUGACAUUGUAAGUUUAAGAUGUACAACAAGCUGAUCUGAUGCAUGGAUCUACUGAGAAAUGAUUUCCACAGUAAGGUUUGUCACCAGUUAACACAUCCACCACCUCACAAAAUUACCUUUUUUAAUGUGUGUGUGGUAAGAACAUUUAGGAUCAAUUCUCUUAACAAAUUUCAAGUAGGUAUGUUGUGAGCCACAGGGGCGGGGGAGGGAGAGGGAUGGACUGGGAAUCUGGGGUUAGCAGAUGCAAACGACUGCCUUUGGAAUGGAUAAGCAAUGAGAUCCCGCUGCAUAGCGCUGGGCACUAUGUCUAGUCACUUGUGAUGGCACACGAUGGAGGAUAAUGUGAGAAAAAGAAUGUACCUGUGUGUGUGUGACUGGGUCACUUUUCUGUAUAGCAGGAAAUUGACAGAACACUGUAAACCAGCUAUUAUGGAAAAAAUAAAAAUCAUUACAAAAAUAAAUUAAACUAUAGUACUGUUAACUGAGGUCAUGAUGCUGCACAUUAGAUGUCCAGAACCUGUUCACCUUAUAAGUGGGAGUUUGAACCUUUCAACCCAUGUCUCUCGGGGCAACAUCUUAAUGGUCACCUACCUACUCUGCCUUCUGAUAAUCUGGUGCCAUAAAGCAUGAAGCAUUCAGGCUAAAGCAUUCCCUUGAUCAUUCCAAUCUGUUCAAAAACAUAUGCCGAGUAUAAGGAAUUUAAGCACACCAGAAACACAGAUUUAUUUUUUUUAUCUUUAAAGAAAAAGAGAAAGCUUUUUCUCUUCAAAUUUCCUUUCCCCAAGAUAACCCAUUGUUAACCGCUGUGUCCUCCCAGAUUCCUUGCUAGUUAUGCAUAUAUUUUAUACAUUUUUUCCCCUCACAAAGCACACUAUUGCUUUAUCAACGUUACUGCCCUGCAAGAGAAGGAAUGUCCCGAAACCGCAUAAAAAACCAUCCCUAACAUGGUACCUCAGGGCCACAUUCCCCCAAACUAAUGGAAAUUUAAAUUCAACUGCCUGCUAGGGGAGUAAUCUGAAGCCCACAAUUCCCAUUUUUGUCGCCGUUGUAUUUCUGUUGUUUCAUUCUCCACUGGUUUAAUUAGUGCAUGGUAUUGUCUAAAGCUAGGUCAUUUUUUAUUCCGGUUACAACCAGAGGCAGUUAGCAUGAAAUUCAUAACAUUUUUAAUUCCAAUAGAACUAUUUCAUCUAAUGGUCCUGUCCCAGCAACUUCAGAGGUUAGAAUAGCCAGUGUCUGAAGCUGAAGAGAGAAGAAAAGCUUUUCCUGGGUGUCUUAGAAAGAACACCCUUUGGCGGGGCUCUCACAGCUGAGUGUGCACUCCUCGAAGGUCACGGGACCUUGGUCUCCCAACCACGCCCCAAAGAGCAGACUCAAAGCCUUGGCGUAAAGUUAAGUUAUUACAGCGCUGGCUUUGGGAACAAUACUAUAUCUUAACGCCCAAUUUGUUGUGGUUAAGACUGAGACUACCAACAGUUCUGUGACUGGUCCCAGAGUGGCCAGGGAUGAGUGACAGAGCUAACUGGGUCUUGGGCCCUUCUGAGCCAGCUUUCCAACAUGAAGGAGGCAUGAGAACUAGGUAACUUGGAGACACAUCAACCCCAGUUUGAAUCUGGCUCUACCACUUAGGAGCUGUGCCAAACUGAGCAACAUACUUAAGCUGUCUGACCAUUGGUUUCCUCGUCUGUGAAGGGGGCCAUAAAACCCACCCAAGGAGUUCCCGCUGUGGCACAGUGGGUUAAGAAUCUGAUUGCAGUGGCUCCGGAUGCUGUGGCGGUGCAGGUUCCAUCCCAGCCUGGCAUAGUGAGUUAAAAGAAUCCAGCACUGCUGCAGCCUGUGACCUUCAGCGAUUCAGUGGCCUAGGAACUUCCAUAUGCUGCAGGUGCAGCCAUUAAAAAACGAACAAACAAAAAAACAACACCUGAAAGGGUUAAUGGCCUGGCUGGUGGCAAGAUUUGGUAAAUAGUAUCAUUCUCAGUCGAUCCCUGUUGUUAGAGAUGAGGCUUCAAAUAAGUAGUUUCUAACGCUCUCCCCCAGCAACACCCUCAGACAAGAAAAAAAAUCACAAGGAAGGGGUGGGUGGCCAAAGAGAAGAUUUAUUGACACUGGGAAGGAUGCUUAUGGGGCUGACAGGAGGAGAGAGAGCCAAGCCUGGUUUCUGUGGUGCUGAUGUUGCCAGGAGGCAGUAGGAGGACACAAAAGCAUCCCCUGGCCCCUCCUGGACUGGCCGUGUUCCCUGCUUCUCACUUCUUCCUCAACCUCUCAGGGCCCAUGGCUGGGCUCCUCUUUCCUGGGAAACACAGAUGGUCAGCACAGAAAAUGCAGCCCGGAUCUGAGCUUG
rnacentral:lncRNA from 1 species